rnacentral:rRNA from 1 species
CCUACGGGAGGCUGCAGUGGGGAAUAUUGGACAAUGGGCGAAAGCCUGAUCCAGCCAUGCCGCGUGUGUGAAGAAGGCCUUCGGGUUGUAAAGCACUUUCAGUGGGGAAGAAAGCCUUGGGGCUAAUACCCUCGAGGAAGGACAUCACCCACAGAAGAAGCACCGGCUAACUCCGUGCCAGCAGCCGCAGUAAUACGGAGGGUGCGAGCGUUAAUCGGAAUUACUGGGCGUAAAGCGCGCGUAGGCGGUCUGAUAAGCCGGUUGUGAAAGCCCCGGGCUCAACCUGGGAACGGCAUCCGGAACUGUCAGGCUAGAGUGCAGGAGAGGAAGGUAGAAUUCCCGGUGUAGCGGUGAAAUGCGUAGAGAUCGGGAGGAAUACCAGUGGCGAAGGCGGCCUUCUGGACUGACACUGACGCUGAGGUGCGAAAGCGUGGGUAGCAAACAGGAUUAGAUACCCCGGUAGUC